rnacentral:rRNA from 1 species
AGAGUUUGAUCAUGGCUCAGGAUGAACGCUGGCGGCGUGCCUAAUACAUGCAAGUCGAACGAGCUCUUCGGAGCUAGUGGCGGACGGGUGAGUAACACGUUGGUACCUGCCCUCAAGUGGGGAAUAACUGGCCGAAAGGUCGGCUAAUACCGCAUGUGAUCGCAAGAUCAAAGCAGCAAUGCGCUUGAGGAGGGGCCUGCGUCCCAUUAGCUAGUUGGUAGGGUAAUGGCCUACCAAGGCGACGAUGGGUAGCUGGAUCGAGAGGUUGACCAGCCACACUGGGACUGAGAUACGGCCCAGACUCCUACGGGAGGCAGCAGUAAGGAAUCUUCCACAAUGGACGAAAGUCUGAUGGAGCAACGCCGCGUGCAGGAUGACGGCCUUCGGGUUAUAAACUGCUUUUAUAUGGGAAGAUUAUGACGGUACCAUAUGAAUAAGGACCGGCUAACUACGUGCCAGCAGCCGCGGUAAUACGUAGGGUCCAAGCGUUAUCCGGAAUCACUGGGCGUAAAGCGUCCGCAGCCGGCGCGUUAAGUGAGUUGUUAAAUCGUGUGGCUCAACCAUAUCGAUGCAAUUCAUACUGGCGUGCUAGAGGGAAGCAGAGGCAAAUGGAAUUACGAGUGUAGCAGUGAAAUGCGUAGAUAUUCGUAGGAACACCAAUGGCGAAGGCGUUUGCUGGGCUUCUUCUGACGGUCAGGGACGAAAGCGUGGGGAGCGAACAGGAUUAGAUACCCCAGUAGUCC